AAGUCGUAACAAGGUUUCCGUAGGUGAACCUGCGGAAGGAUCAUUACAACGUAUCCACGUAUAAACAAACGCGAACAGUCCUUUGGACGCGUAAAACCAGAACAAGCUGGCUUGAAGUUACUCGGUCGAACUGCUAAUUAAUGCGCUUUGAAGAUGGAGCUUUGCUUGGAACAAGUCCGAGCAGCUCGAAGCGCCAGUUCUUGGCCCGGAAUAAGCAUUCGUGCGUUUCCGAACUUCGUUACGCCCAAAGAGUAUUUUCCCACCAUCGGGAAUCACACCUAUUGUACCUUUUCAUUAACCCUUUGUAAAAUUUGAACUGAACUUGGUAAACACUGCGGCUUUCCUCGCUGGCUUCGGUCACGGAAAGCACUCAACGCGGUGCUUUUACUCUUUAUUACGAAAUAAGAACAACUCUUAACAACGGAUAUCUUGGUUCUCGUAACGAUGAAAAACGCAGC
rnacentral:misc_RNA from 1 species